UGCAGUCGAACGGCAGCACGGGGGCAACCCUGGUGGCGAGUGGCGAACGGGUGAGUAAUACAUCGGAACGUGCCCAGUGGUGGGGGAUAGCCCGGCGAAAGCCGGAUUAAUACCGCAUACGACCUACGGGUGAAAGCGGGGGAUCGCAAGACCUCGCGCCAUUGGAGCGGCCGAUGUCAGAUUAGGUUGUUGGUGAGGUAAAGGCUCACCAAGCCGACGAUCUGUAGCUGGUCUGAGAGGACGACCAGCCACACUGGGACUGAGACACGGCCCAGACUCCUACGGGAGGCAGCAGUGGGGAAUUUUGGACAAUGGGGGAAACCCUGAUCCAGCCAUGCCGCGUGCGGGAAGAAGGCCUUCGGGUUGUAAACCGCUUUUGUCAGGGAAGAAAUCUUCCGGGCUAACACCCCGGAAGGAUGACGGUACCUGAAGAAUAAGCACCGGCUAACUACGUGCCAGCAGCCGCGGUAAUACGUAGGGUGCAAGCGUUAAUCGGAAUUACUGGGCGUAAAGCGUGCGCAGGCGGUUGUGCAAGACAGGUGUGAAAUCCCCGGGCUUAAACCUGGGAACUGCACUUGUGACUGCACAACUGGAGUACGGCAGAAGGGGGGAUGGAAUUCCGCGUGUAGCAGUGAAAUGCGUAGAUUUGCGAGAACACGAUGGCGAAGGCAGUCCCCUUGGGCCUGUACUGACGCUCAUG
rnacentral:rRNA from 1 species